GCGUUAAUCGGAAUUACUGGGCGUAAAGCGUGCGCAGGCGGGGAUGUAAGACAGAUGUGAAAUCCCCGGGCUCAACCUGGGAACUGCAUUUGUGACUGCAUCGCUAGAGUACGGCAGAGGGGGAUGGAAUUCCGCGUGUAGCAGUGAAAUGCGUAGAUAUGCGGAGGAACACCGAUGGCGAAGGCAAUCCCCUGGGCCCGUACUGACACUCAUGCACGAAAGCGUG
rnacentral:rRNA from 1 species